rnacentral:rRNA from 1 species
AGAGCGAACGCUGGCGGCAGGCUUAACACAUGCAAGUCGAACGGAUCCUUCGGGAUUAGUGGCGGACGGGUGAGUAACACGUGGGAACGUGCCUUUAGGUUCGGAACAACACAGGGAAACUUGUGCUAAUACCGGAUAAGCCCUUAGGGGGAAAGAUUUAUCGCCUUUAGAGCGGCCCGCGUCUGAUUAGCUUGUUGGUGAGGUAAAGGCUCACCAAGGCUACGAUCAGUAGCU